AGUGAACGCUGGCGGUAGGCCUAACACAUGCAAGUCGAACGGCAGCACAGUAAGAGCUUGCUCUUACGGGUGGCGAGUGGCGGACGGGUGAGGAAUACAUCGGAAUCUACUUUUUCGUGGGGGAUAACGUAGGGAAACUUACGCUAAUACCGCAUAUGACCUACGGGUGAAAGCAGGGGAUCUUCGGACCUUGCGCGAUUGAAUGAGCCGAUGUCGGAUUAGCUAGUUGGCGGGGUAAAGGCCCACCAAGGCGACGAUCCGUAGCUGGUCUGAGAGGAUGAUCGGCCACACUGGAACUGAGACACGGUCCAGACUCCUACGGGAGGCAGCAGUGGGGAAUAUUGGACAAUGGGCGCAAGCCUGAUCCAGCCAUACCGCGUGGGUGGAGAAGGCCUUCGGGUUGUAAAGCCCUUUUGUUGGGAAAGAAAAGCAGCAGGUUAAUACCCCGCUGUUCUGACGGUACCCAAAGAAUAAGCACCGGCUAACUUCGUG
rnacentral:rRNA from 1 species